rnacentral:snoRNA from 1 species
AUAAAUGAUAAAAACUUGUCAAUACAAAAAGCUCAGUUAUAAACCAAGCUUUUCAAUAAAUUAGUAAUCUUUGGUGUCUGGAUUAGGUACUGGUGUUAACC